UAAUGCCUUAUUAUUAUGCCUGUAUUCUGUGAAGGAAAGCAGUCUCGUCUGCCAUUUGGUCACAACGGUGCAAGGAGCAGUGGACCCCUGGAUGUAAUAAACAUGCCGAUGUCUGUGGGCCAAUGGAGAUUGGAGGAUCCAGAUCCUACUGCGUGAGAGACUGCCAGUGAUACCAGGUCAGCUGUUUCUACACAACACUCAGUUCGGCUACAUUGUUGCUGGCACUGCACCAUUGAACAGCGAGGGAUGUUCAUCACUACCAAGUAACUUUUGCAACUUUCCUAUUUUUUCGGGAAUACCGCCGCUGCCCCCGGGCCAUGCCUCUAUAAUGAGAAGAUCACCUGGGUGAAGAUGACGAUGCAACAUCGACAUGUCGAAGUACCCAGCGAAUGUGACGACAAAACUACUAAAUGGAUUUUGAUCAACAGACAACCUGGAUAGGCAACUUUUUAAAAAUCCUAGAAUCACUACCAGAAAACUUUUUAGCUCUAAGUUUUAUUUUACAGUUACUAGAAAAUAAAACCGAGAGCAUGUUAAAUAAAACAAACCAACACCUAUCCCAAAAGAAAUGGUAGAAACAUAAUCAACAAAAUAUAUCAUACAGGUUACCAGAUAAGGCAAGUAAUAAUGAAAAAUAAUUUAUCUAUCUUUUA